rnacentral:rRNA from 1 species
GAUGAACGCUAGCGGGAGGCUUAACACAUGCAAGUCGAGGGGCAUCACGGGUAGCAAUACCUGGGUGGCGACCGGCAGACGGGUGAGUAACGCGUAUGUAACCUACCCUGUACAGGGGGAUAACCCGGAGAAAUUCGGACUAAUAUCCCAUAAUGAUAUCUGGGGGCAUCUUCGGAUAUUUAAAGUUCCGGCGGUACAGGAUGGGCAUGCGUAACAUUAGCUAGUUGGUAAGGUAACGGCUUACCAAGGCUUUGAUGUUUAGGGGUCCUGAGAGGGUGGUCCCCCACACUGGUACUGAGACACGGACCAGACUCCUACGGGAGGCAGCAGUGAGGAAUAUUGGUCAAUGGGCGCAAGCCUGAACCAGCCAUCCCGCGUGCAGGAAGACGGCCCUAUGGGUUGUAAACUGCUUUUCCAGGGAGAGAAACUUGCGUACGCGUUGCGCAAUUGACGGUACCCUGGGAAUAAGCAUCGGCUAACUCCGUG